UUAAGCGACUAAGCGUACACGGUGGAUGCCCUGGCAGUCAGAGGCGAUGAAGGACGUGCUAAUCUGCGAAAAGCGCCGGCGAGGUGAUAUGAACCUUUGACCCGGCGAUGUCCGAAUGGGGAAACCCAGUGCAAUCCGUUGCACUAUCGUUAACUGAAUACAUAGGUUAACGAGGCGAACCGGGGGAACUGAAACAUCUAAGUACCCCGAGGAAAAGAAAUCAACCGAGAUUCCCCCAGUAGCGGCGAGCGAACGGGGAGCAGCCCGGAGUCUGAAUCAGCUUGUGUGUUAGUGGAACGGUCUGGAAAGUCCGACGGUACAGGGUGAUAGUCCCGUACACGAAAGCACACUUGCUGUGAACUCGAAGAGUAGGGCGGGACACGUGGUAUCCUGUCUGAAUAUGGGGGGACCAUCCUCCAAGGCUAAAUACUCCUGACUGACCGAUAGUGAACCAGUACCGUGAGGGAAAGGCGAAAAGAACCCCGGCGAGGGGAGUGAAAAAGAACCUGAAACCGUGUACGUACAAGCAGUGGGAGCCUCUUUAUGGGGUGACUGCGUACCUUUUGUAUAAUGGGUCAGCGACUUAUAUUCUGUAGCAAGGUUAACCGUAUAGGGGAGCCGAAGGGAAACCGAGUCUUAACUGGGCGUUAAGUUGCAGGGUAUAGACCCGAAACCCGGUGAUCUAGCCAUGGGCAGGUUGAAGGUUGGGUAACACUAACUGGAGGACCGAACCGACUAAUGUUGAAAAAUUAGCGGAUGACCUGUGGCUGGGGGUGAAAGGCCAAUCAAACCGGGAGAUAGCUGGUUCUCCCCGAAAGCUAUUUAGGUAGCGCCUCGUGAACUCAUCUUCGGGGGUAGAGCACUGUUUCGGCUAGGGGGCCAUCCCGGCUUACCAACCCGAUGCAAACUACGAAUACCGAAGAAUGUUAUCACGGGAGACACACGGCGGGUGCUAACGUCCGUCGUGAAGAGGGAAACAACCCAGACCGCCAGCUAAGGUCCCAAAGUCAUGGUUAAGUGGGAAACGAUGUGGGAAGGCACAGACAGCCAGGAUGUUGGCUUAGAAGCAGCCAUCAUUUAAAGAAAGCGUAAUAGCUCACUGGUCGAGUCGGCCUGCGCGGAAGAUGUAACGGGGCUAAACCAUGCACCGAAGCUGCGGCAGCGACACUAUGUGUUGUUGGGUAGGGGAGCGUUCUGUAAGCCGUUGAAGGUGUCCUGUGAGGGGUGCUGGAGGUAUCAGAAGUGCGAAUGCUGACAUAAGUAACGAUAAAGCGGGUGAAAAGCCCGCUCGCCGGAAGACCAAGGGUUCCUGUCCAACGUUAAUCGGGGCAGGGUGAGUCGACCCCUAAGGCGAGGCCGAAAGGCGUAGUCGAUGGGAAACAGGUUAAUAUUCCUGUACUUGGUGUUACUGCGAAGGGGGGACGGAGAAGGCUAUGUCAGCCGGGCGACGGUUGUCCCGGUUUAAGCAUGUAGGCGGAGGUUCCAGGUAAAUCCGGUACCUUGUUAACGCUGAGGUGUGAUGACGAGGCACUACGGUGCUGAAGUGAUAAAUGCCCUGCUUCCAGGAAAAGCCUCUAAGCAUCAGGUAACACGAAAUCGUACCCCAAACCGACACAGGUGGUCAGGUAGAGAAUACCAAGGCGCUUGAGAGAACUCGGGUGAAGGAACUAGGCAAAAUGGUGCCGUAACUUCGGGAGAAGGCACGCUGAUGUGUAGGUGAAGUCCCUGCGGACGGAGCUGAAAUCAGUCGAAGAUACCAGCUGGCUGCAACUGUUUAUUAAAAACACAGCACUGUGCAAACACGAAAGUGGACGUAUACGGUGUGACGCCUGCCCGGUGCCGGAAGGUUAAUUGAUGGGGUUAGCGGCAACGCGAAGCUCUUGAUCGAAGCCCCGGUAAACGGCGGCCGUAACUAUAACGGUCCUAAGGUAGCGAAAUUCCUUGUCGGGUAAGUUCCGACCUGCACGAAUGGCGUAAUGAUGGCCAGGCUGUCUCCACCCGAGACUCAGUGAAAUUGAACUCGCUGUGAAGAUGCAGUGUACCCGCGGCAAGACGGAAAGACCCCGUGAACCUUUACUAUAGCUUGACACUGAACACUGGUCCUUGAUGUGUAGGAUAGGUGGGAGGCUUUGAAGCGUGGACGCCAGUCUGCGUGGAGCCAACCUUGAAAUACCACCCUUUAAUGGCUGGUGUUCUAACGUAGACCCGUAAUCCGGGUUGCGGACAGUGUCUGGUGGGUAGUUUGACUGGGGCGGUCUCCUCCCAAAGAGUAACGGAGGAGCACGAAGGUUGGCUAAUCCUGGUCGGACAUCAGGAGGUUAGUGCAAUGGCAUAAGCCAGCUUGACUGCGAGCGUGACGGCGCGAGCAGGUGCGAAAGCAGGUCAUAGUGAUCCGGUGGUUCUGAAUGGAAGGGCCAUCGCUCAACGGAUAAAAGGUACUCCGGGGAUAACAGGCUGAUACCGCCCAAGAGUUCAUAUCGACGGCGGUGUUUGGCACCUCGAUGUCGGCUCAUCACAUCCUGGGGCUGAAGUAGGUCCCAAGGGUAUGGCUGUUCGCCAUUUAAAGUGGUACGCGAGCUGGGUUUAGAACGUCGUGAGACAGUUCGGUCCCUAUCUGCCGUGGGCGCUGGAGAAUUGAGGGGGGCUGCUCCUAGUACGAGAGGACCGGAGUGGACGCAUCACUGGUGUUCGGGUUGUCAUGCCAAUGGCACUGCCCGGUAGCUAAAUGCGGAAAAGAUAAGUGCUGAAAGCAUCUAAGCACGAAACUUGCCCCGAGAUGAGUUCUCCCUGAGACCUUGAGUCUCCUGAAGGAACGUUGAAGACGACGACGUUGAUAGGUCGGGUGUGUAAGCGCAGCGAUGCGUUGAGCUAACCGAUACUAAUGAACCGUGAGGCUUAACCUU
rnacentral:rRNA from 2 species